rnacentral:tRNA from 1 species
UGGGGCGUGGCCAAGUGGUAAGGCAACGAUUUUGGUCCCGCUAUGCGGAGGUUCGAAUCUUUCCGUCCCAG